AUGGCUCUGGAGAUGAAGGUAAAACACAAAAUGACCGACGCAUGCUUCAACAAGAACAUGUCAUUCUGGCAUGAACGUCUUCCCAAGGGGAACAAGUGCCCGACUAGUGUCGAGGAGGCGAAGAAAAUCAUGUGUCCUCUCGAUUUACCGCACGUGAAAUACCAUGUGUGCAUGAACAAUUGUAUCAUUUAUCAGGACGAGCACGCGGAGUCUACCAUAUGUCCGGUGUGCGGCGUCACUCGAUACAAGAAGAGGAAGAAAGCUCCUCGAAAAUCGGUGUGGUACUUUCCGAUCACUCCUCGUCUGCAGCGGUAUUUCGCGGACCCUAAGGUAGCAAAGUUCCUGCAUAGGCACGCGGAUAGGGAGGAGAAGAAGUAG
rnacentral:rRNA from 1 species